UCGAACGGUAACAGAAAAAGCUUGCUUUUUGCUGACGAGUGGCGAACGGGUGCGUAACGCGUAUGCAACCUACCUUUUUCUAAGGAAUAGCCCAGAGAAAUUUGGAUUAAUACCUUAUAAUAAUAUUCAUUCGCAUGUUUGAAUAUUUAAAGCUUUUGCGGAAAAAGAUGGGCAUGCGUGACAUUAGUUUGUUGGUGAGGUAACGGCUCACCAAGACUACGAUGUCUAGGGGUUCUGAGAGGAUGAUCCCCCACACUGGUACUGAGACACGGACCAGACUCCUACGGGAGGCAGCAGUGAGGAAUAUUGGUCAAUGGACGAAAGUCUGAACCAGCCAUGCCGCGUGAAGGAUGACGGCCCUACGGGUUGUAAACUUCUUUUGUAUAGGAAGAAACCCCCCUACGUGUAGAGGGCUGACGGUACUAUACGAAUAAGCACCGG
rnacentral:rRNA from 1 species